rnacentral:rRNA from 1 species
UACGGGGAAGAAACCAACAGGGAAUUGCCCUAGUAACGGCGAAGUGAAGCGGCAACAGCUCAAAUUUGAAAUCUGGCUCUUUUAGAGUCCGAGUUGUAAUUUGCAGAGGGCGCUUUGGCUUUGGCAGCGGUCCAAGUUCCUUGGAACAGGACGUCACAGAGGGUGAGAAUCCCGUACGUGGUCGCUGGCUAUUGCCGUGUAAAGCCCCUUCGACGAGUCGAGUUGUUUGGGAAUGCAGCUCUAAAUGGGAGGUACAUUUCUUCUAAAGCUAAAUAUUGGCCAGAGACCGAUAGCGCACAAGUAGAGUGAUCGAAAGAUGAAAAGCACUUUGGAAAGAGAGUCAAACAGCACGUGAAAUUGUUGAAAGGGAAGCGCUUGCAGCCAGACUUGCUUACAGUUGCUCAUCCGGGUUUCUACCCGGUGCACUCUUCUGUAGGCAGGCCAGCAUCAGUUUGGGCGGUAGGAUAAAGGUCUCUGUCACGUACCUCCUUUCGGGGAGGCCUUAUAGGGGAGACGACAUACUACCAGCCUGGACUGAGGUCCGCGCAUCUGCUAGGAUGCUGGCGUAAUGGCUGUAAGCGGCCCGUCUUGAAACACGGACCAAGGAGUCUAACAUCUAUGCGAGUGUUUGGGUGUCAAGCCCGAGCGCGUAAUGAAAGUGAACGGAGGUGGGAACCCGCAAGGGUGCACCAUCGACCGAUCCUGAUGUCUUCGGAAGGAUUUGAGUAAGAGCAUGGCUGUUGGGACCCGAAAGAUGGUGAACUAUGCUUGAAUAGGGUGAAGCCAGAGGAAACUCUGGUGGAGGCUCGCAGCGGUUCUGACGUGCAAAUCGAUCGUCAAAUUUGGGCAUAGGGGCGAAAGACUAAUCGAACUAUCUAGUAGCUGGUUCCUGCCAAGUUCCCCUCAGGAAAGGAAACCA